rnacentral:tRNA from 1 species
GUUAAGUGGCUGAGUUAUAAGCAAUAAAUUGUAAAUUUAUUAACGAAAAGUAAUUUCCUUAACCAA